rnacentral:lncRNA from 1 species
CACCGCCGCCGCCGCAUCCGCGUCCGCCGCCGCCGCCGCCAUAUCCGCGUCCGCCGCCGCCGCCACCACCACCACCACCCCCACCCGCCGGCUCACCCAGCUUCACACGUUGCUCCUGCCCACCCACCUCCACCACACGUUGCUCCUGCUCACCCACCCACACCCACCCAUCGUUUCCCUAGGAGCCUUGUUGAAGUUCAAGGCGUCGUUUAUUGCAAGUCUUGCAAGUACGCAGGAGCUGAUACCCUCCUAGGAGCUACCGCUGUUCUAGGUCAGUUUCGAAAUCUUUCAACUUAAUUUUCCCUGCUUCAAACUCUUACAUACUUGAUUUUUUUCUAUCAUUAUUACUUCAAUUAAUUUCACAUGUAUGUUUAGUUAGAUAUCAUGCAUACAUAACAUACGUAUGGAUGCGAAUGUGCAUUUGUUUUCAUGGAUGCGUGAUGUAUACAUUUCCAGAUUUUGAAUGGAGAGAGAGAGAGGUGCUCUUGAUCUCUUUCUUUCACUUUGUUCUAGGUUUAUGUCACAUUCAGUAGGAGGCAUGGUUAUGGCAGCAUAGCUAGCUACUUUUUCCUUUUUCAAGCUCUCUUUUUGAAGUCCCUAGUAUUUAAAUUUUUUUUUAUUCUUUUAAUAUUGUCCAUGGGUUCAAUUGCAGGGGCGACUCUGAAAUUGCAGUGCAACAACACCAAGUAUCCACUCAAUGUGGUUGGCAAAACGGACAAGAACGGCUACUUCAGGAUCAAAGCACCCAAGACAAUCAUCAGCUACGGAGCUCACAAGUGCAAGCUGUUCCUAGUCACAUCACCCUCGGCUUCCUGCGCCAAACCGUCCAAUCUCCACGGUGGAGCCACCGGCGCCGUUUUGAGGCCUGAGUCACUCUCCGCAGGCAAACCUCCAGUUGCUCUCUACACCGUUGGCCCUUUGGCCUUUGAACCCAAAUGCCCACAUUAAUCUUAUUUUAAUUAUUUUACCCCCCCCUCCCCCCCCCCUCUCUCUCUAAUCUCUAUCUCUGUCUUUUGUUUCAGUCAUAUCGUAUCAUAUCCAGUGCUUUGUACCAAUCUUGUGUUGCAAACUUGUAAUGGGAAUGCCAGUCUGUUUGUUUCUAUUUGUACUGUGUCGCUUCGUUGGCAUUAAUAAAUUAUAGUAUCCCGCUAGUUUAAUUAGCAACAAAUAAAUUAUGAGGCUCAUUUUUUGAAUAUGAAUUAUAUUUAUAAAUGCAUAUGCUAUGGAUCAUGUUUUUUUUCCUUUUUUUUAAAGUUUUUGUCAUCAUAAAUGUACCCAUGUUAUAAAAUUUUACGGCGGAUCUAAAAUUAAAUGGUAAUUAUAUAUAUAUUUAAUCAAAACCAAGAAAAAGGGAAGUAAUGAAACUAAUUGAGUGGUCUGCCUAAUGGCAAACAUGAGAGACAUAGCAAUUGUUACUUUUUUCCUGGGAUACUGUUCAAAAAGAAAAGUCAAGUCCUUGGAAUUUGUUGACUCUCUUUUUUUUUACCUAGUAUUAUUAAAUUAAAUAAUCAUUUAUGUUAGUUAUUUUAAAUCUUAAUUUAUUUUGUGGCGCUGGCCCAUUGGUCAUGGAAAAUGUAAAACGACCGAAAUACAAGGUCUAUUGAGAUUUCCCGAAUGGUUAGAUCACAAUCACUUAACUAGCAUAGCACUGGACCGGUGAACUUUUACCCUCAUUACCCUCACAGAUAAUGAGGGUAAUGAGAAAUAAGAAUUAUGUAUAAUUGUGUAGAUUUAUUUGUAAGUUCUUUUCCUUAUGAAAUAAGAAUGGAGUAGAAAUAUUCUUCGUUUGUGAGGGCUAUUUAUCUGGACAAGGUACUUUAAUAGCUCCAAUUAUAUGUCUGAUUAUAAAUAUCAGUAUAAUUAUCUAUUGUAAUAACAAUUGUAAAUAUCUAAUGUAAUUCAAUAAUCUGGUGUAUUAUCGGUAUUUAAAAAAAAAACUAGGAAUGGAAGAUAAAUUGACAACCACUUAAAAUAAAAUAAAAAAUUUGAUGUAAAAAUUUUUAAUUUGUGAAAGAUAACUGCUGCGAUUAAACAUCUGCCCGAAAUGUUUUAGAUCACAAAUUUCAGAUUUUAAAAUGAUUAAAAUCACAUAUUCAUUUCAAUAGCACCUUUUUAGUGCAUAUUGUAGUUAGUUAACCGCGGUGUCCAACUUCAAAGUAAUAUAGAGCAUAUUAAAUUGCAUUCCAUAAUCGAUUUUGUACAUUUAAAGUACCACAUUAUUUUUACAAGUCAAUCACAUGUUUAUUCAUAUGCAUAUUUAGAUAGAAAAUUGGUAAAACAACACCCAAACAUCGUAUAUAUUUUCUCACAAUAAUUAUGCAUCACGUAAAAAAUAUUUCAAACGGUUUUUUUCUUUUUCUUUUUUUGGGAAAACAAAGCAACUUUGUGAGGUAAGUAGGAAUGAUGAUUAAAAUACAUUUUAAAAAUAUAAAUUUACAACUAUAAAUUGACAAAAAUGAUACGCAUCUCAUCAAUAAGCCCGCUAAAGUAAAAUAUUUGUGUAAUUCUAUCAUUAAUUCAAACUUUAAGGAGGAUCAAGCUACGGUACCACAGUGGUACCGUACCACUAUUUUUGUCUUUUUGUCAGCACAACUGUAAAUUUUUAUAGAACCCAUUUUACUCAAUUUUAUUUAAUCUUUGCUUUAUAAAUAUUAAGUUAAUUUCUACUGCAUCCAUAUGAACAUUUUACUUAGCACCUUAAACUAUUUACUAUUUACACAUUUUUAUUCUAUAUUGCACAUACAUCACAAUACCCCUCUCUUUAUCACAAUACCCACGAACCCGACUCGGAUUUUGUCUCCGUUUCCGGCCACUCCUCCGACCAAGGUUGGUACCGAUUGGAAGCUCGUGCGACGCCGGUCAUCUUCAUGCCAUCCUUGUCGCAAAAAAAAAUUCUGCUUCCUGGCUGAAUUUGUAACUUGCAACAUGGCUACUAUUUUGUUUCCAUUCAUAAAAAACUAUGCUGUCUCAGUAUCUUAAAGAUUUAAUCAACUCCUUAAUUUUCAAUCGAAUAUCUUCUUCAGUGUAGUCCACUGUUUCUGUUAUACCUCCAUAUUGAACUGUUUAAUCUUCUUAAAAGAGAUAAAGUGAAGGUACCCUGUUUCUUCUUAGGAUGUAUCCAACACUGUUGUUGUCUGUGGGCAACGGUUAUCUUCUUAACGGUGGCAACUAAUGCAUUUCCUACUGCAUCCAGUUCAUUGCAGUUGGUAGACUCUGAUUGUUUUUGCAUAUUCAAGCACACUGUACCACUUCCCUCCAUUGUUAACACCUGGUAGCUUGUUACACUCUGACCAUUCCUUUAAUGGCUUGACCACUUCCUGAUCUGAGUUUUAGAUUCAUUUUAGUAUUAGUUGUAUUAUGUGAAUUAGUGCAAACUUUUUGAUUUGCAAAAGGUUGCUCAACCCUGUAGCGGAUUUGAAUUGCUGAUUGCUAAAUUACGAUUUGAUGAUUACAGGUCGAAGUCUUUUUUUUUCUAAAAACAGAUGCCUGCCAGUGAGUGGUUUGCAUCAUGACAGUAGCAGACUAACAAGCUGAAAGGAUUCUGGCCCUUUUUGACCUGAUGUUCUUGAUGUUGUAAGUCAAGCAGCAGAAUACUUCAAUUAUGAUAGGGUAUGGUGCCCUUUGGAGAUCAGUGGUUAUAAUUAGUUGCCAUGACUUUUGUUGCUAUGGAUAAUGGAACCUUGUCUACAAUGAUUUUCAAGGUUUUAUGAUGAUUUUUUUCACUUGUUUUGAAUUUUAAUUAUGAUUGACUAUCUUUUGGCAUUGUCAUGCUUGACUUCAUUAAGGAUAAACGAAGUGAACUCGCUAGAUUGGUGGUGAUACUAUUAUUUAUUAUCUUGUUAUAUUGGCUGGCUGAUUUUACAGUCAAGACUAACUCAAGACUGAUAUAUAUAUAUGUGUGUAUGUGUGUGUGUGUGGGGGGGGGGGGGGGGGGGGGGGGGGGGGGGGGGGGGGUGGGGGUGGGUGGGUGUGGGUGUGGGUGUGUGUGGGGGAAUGUGUGUGUGGGAAGUUUUUCGAAGUUGGGUGGCAGCACAGAACUUGUUACCUACACCAAUCUUUGGAAGAACGUUGUUGAAGGAUCCUGUGCGUAGUAGAUGUCAGAAUGAGAGAUCUCUUUCAAAACUGAACACAAUCUGAACCUUAAAUCGGAUUGGAUUCUGAUGGGAUGAAUAUGUCAGAUUAAUUUGGGAUAGGAUCAGACCAGGUUAAUUCAAAUGACAAAUAUCAGUUGAAUUUGGGGGGGGACGUCGAUGUGGUUACCAAUUGCCAAAGAAGGCUAAGAUUGUCUAGCCAAAUUGUGGGCAAAAGGAGAAUAAUAAGAGCAAUAAUGACAACAAAGCAUUGAUUUCCACCAAGUGUCAAUCCUUCAAGUUUAAUUGCCAUAUCUGGAAAAAGAUUCUCCAACUCCUCUCUUUCGAAGAUCAAGAAUCAAUUAGUAGAGGUCAUGACAACUGAAACAAUUAGUCUUUCCUUCUUCCCAGAGGCUCGGUGCUGGCUGGUUCGGGAGUUGAUGUGGGUUUGGGGCUGCCGACUACGUUUGUGGCUGCGGGUUUGUGAAUCUGGCCAACGAUGUCAAUGCGGCUGGGUUCGUGGGUUUGGUUGGGUUCGUAGACUUUGUCUAAUUCAAGUUGACAAGUUCUUAUCCGAAUCCAAUCCAAUGCCUAGUCCUAGUAAGCAUGCUCAAAAGGUAUGGAAACUGACCGCUUUUCGUACGGUAAAUGUUGGGUGCACUUCAAGAGCUGGCAACGAGCAGUGAGGAAGGAGAACACACUGAAUCGGAUUCCUCUUAAUACGAAAGGCAGCAAGGCAGCAAUAUUUUGUGUAUCAAACAACUUCUUGAACUCCAUUUCCUUCAUCUAGCACAAUUGAUGAAAUAAUAAGUCAAUAACAAGCAGAGAGUCUCCUGUGAUAAUUUGAAAAGUAAAACUAUCUUUCCUGUACAAAUAUAAAUAAAUCUUCUACAUGAAAUCAACAAUCAUGAAACCAAAGAAUAUACGAGGGAUAACAAAAUAAAGCACAUGAGCGACUAAAAGUCCCUGGAAGAUCAUAUUAUUCAUACAAAUAUGAAAUAUUUCAAAGAAUUAGAUAGGUAAAAGUCGACCAUUAUACGGGCUACAUUCUUAUAGAAUCAAAUUAUGCAUAAUUUUAAUUUAACAAAAGAAGAAUUUCCGGGGUAUAAUGAAAACAAUUAAAUAUUGCUAUUUUGAAUUUAAUUGGCAUAACUUAAAAAUAAGUUUUGGUACCAAAUCAUCUUGAAAUAACCACACGUCAAAUGCAAAGUGUAUUUUAAUGAACAGAAGAAGCAAAGUGAUUGUAAAAGUCACUUGCUUCGCCCUUUCUUAGGUCCACUGCUUGGAAAGAAUACUAGUCUUCCAUUCAAAUUCAACCGCCAUAAUUGUUGGCAGGCUGUGCUCGGGCGACCAAAAGCAAGUAGUUUAGAUAAGGUUCAGCCUUAGAUAUAAGUUUAAGUACCUAAAAAAUAAUCAUUGAUAAACCCUUGCACAACCACUUUCUCUUUCAUUUUUUUUUUUAAAGUAACCCAAUUUGAUAAUAGGACUCAAAUUCACAAGGAUUAACUAUCAAAUCAAUUAAAAUAAUCAAAGCGGUUCAUAUGUUUCGACAUCAAAAUGCUAUAAAAUAAGUAAUACUUGUUUAAUUUUAAAUAAAAGAACCCGAGAUAUUAUUAUUUUUAUCAUAUCUCUUUUUACUUUUUUUUUUAAAUUUCAAAUCACAUUUUGAACCGAUUGUUAACUAGUUCUAUUAUUUUAAAAAAAUUAUUAAUAGAAAUAAUUUGUACAGCUGAUUAGAUUCAACAAUACAUGUUACUUAUAUCAUUGAUGUUGUAAAAAAAAAAAAAAAUUACAAGAGAGUUAGUUGAUAGGGUAAUAAAUAUUAGGAAUAAGGACCAAGGACGGUGAGCAGCUGAAUGAAAAAUGGCUGCUCAUGGACUGCAUGCAAACUGCCAAGCGGCUGAGUGGGCGAUCAUCUUUUCUUUUGCAGCACUGCUCAACUCAUACCCGUCUCAUUUUUUAUAUUUUAUGCUUGAAUCGAAUGGAUACAACACAAUCAUACAAUACAAGAAAUCAAGAACUGCUAUUGGCUUAUACGCACAAUCGGUAUUGAUAUUAUCGAACUCCAUUACAUCGGAUCAGAUCGUAUUUAUUAUAAUAUGAUCUGUUAUAUCCGAUUAUCUCGAUCAUUCUAAUUCAUUUUAUAUUUCUAAGUCAACAACAAUUUAUUAUUUUCAGCUCGCCAUUGAGGUGCUGCAACCCUAAGCCUAAUGUAUAAUCUCUCGAUUGAAUACAAAAACAGCUGUUCGAUUUAAAUGUGACUUCUUGGUGGAUCCGGUUAUGGACGCAGCUUCAUAAAUUACACAUACCUGAUGAUGAUUACAUCAGUAAAGCUAUAUAUAAUCCUUUUACCCCAAACACAAGAAGAAAUAAAAUUUAAGUGAUCCUUAUUUCUUACUCAAUAUAAUUAAUUUUUAUUAAUUAAACUUGUCCUAUGAGUUAAUACUUUUUUGUUUUUUCUGCUUUACUGGGUUUGUCUUCGGCUCUUCUGGCACAUGCGAUUCAUCGGCCGAUCAUUAUAAUAAAAGCUUUGUCAUUUAUGCCUUUUUGAUUAAAAAAAAAAUAUUAUUUGCAAUCUUUAUGAUUGUAAAAUCAGAGCAUAGUGAAACUUCUGAACUUUAAAAGCUGCAUUUUGUAUGCGAGCUUGUAUAAUUUUACUUGUGUGUGGAAAUGUGGAUCAAUUAAUGUGGGCUUAAAUAAAAAUCAAUGAUUUUUUGUUGAAAUAAUUUUUUUUCCGAUAAGUACUGUUGGACCAAAAAUAUAUGAUUUAACUGGAAUUCUAUGACAAAUGCAUGAAAAUAUUUGUUUAUAGAUUGGGAGUGAAAGAGUUUAUGAGAAGCUGAAACAAAACACAAAGUAAGAGAUAAAUGAAAAAAAUAAAAUAAAAAUGGUGGAAGGAUAAGCAAACAAGUAGGAGAGAGAAAUGUCAAUUAAGAAUUAUUAAUUAUAUACCAUUAGUAAAUUUUUAUUAAAAAAAUUAUGUUAAUGUGAUAUAAUCUAUACCAAAUUUAGUAAAAAUUUUUUAUGAUGUACUGCAUCAAAUAAUUCAACCGACCUCGAUCGCCAGUAGGUACCUGUUACUUGCGUCUCAACCAGGGAAGGGUUAAUGCCAUGUCAGUAAUCAACUGAGGGAUGCGUACUGAAAGAUGAUUUGGUCAAGAAUCAAGCCCAUGAAAACAUAAAAAUAAUACUAUAUCUGCUUAAUUAGAAUAUUUAAUUUAUAUCUCGAUUAAAAUAAUAAAAAUUAUAUCAUUAUUUAAUUAGUUCAAAUAAUAGUUAAUCAAAAUAUAAUAUCUAACCUUCUAUAAAAGGACCGAAAUGCGGGACAGAGGAAUUACAUUUGCAGUUCCAUAUAUAAAAAGCUCAAUCACUUGGACAAUCAAUUACAUUAUCUAGAAAGUUAUCAUCUCCAGAGUUUUAAUUUAUUUCAUGCGUUGGACCAAAUUUGACAUUCGCUUAGAUUUGGAAAUCUCUACUAUUAAUUUUACGCGAAAAAUGAUUGAUAAAUUUUACACGACUUACCCAUCAAAUGAACCCAUUAUUUAACUUUGUCGGAAUUUAAUUAUAUUACGAUAAAUAAUAAACUUGAGUUUUCAAUUUUUAGGGUUUAAAAGAAGGAACCCUAAGGCUAAUUCUAGCUCUGAUUUAAUAUCAAUAACCCUAGUAUAAUAUUUUCUUUUCUCCUUGCCAUGUCGUUUUCUGAUUAAGUUUUCUAAGGUGUCAGAACAGAGAAAAGAUAAACAAAUAAAAACAGAGCACAUAUAAUAAAUACACAACCUAGUUUCUAGACUCCGACGAUAAUUCGAAACCGAAAACGAAAGUGGCAAAAGCGAAAAUAGUGUUUCAUUUCUUUAUUUAUGUUAGGGAAAUUAUCAUUUUAUACCUUAUAUUUGUUUUGUUGUAAAAAAUAAUAUUAAUCGUUCAUUUUAAGUUGACAAAAUAUAUAUACUAAUAACUAAAUCAUUAGUUACCAUCUGAAAGUUAAUACAGCGAAUUGAUAUUUUAUUUUUGAAAUUUAAAUUAAAAUAAAAAAAAUUAUUAUUUAUAUACUCUUAAAUUAUCUUAUUAUCACUUACGUACUUUUAAAUUAUCAUUUUUAUAUUCUUAAAUUCUUUUAUUAUUUCUUAUAUCGUGUGAAAAUAUUAAAUUACCCCUCUAAUGUCAUUAUUUUUCAACGUUAAUUAAUAAUUUAAUAGAUAAUAAAUAUAUUUUAUUAAUUUAAAAUAAAUAAUUAAUAUAUUUUUAAAAUAUUAUAAUAUUUUUAAUAAUGGAGGAAACUAAGGUUGCUUUAUUUUAUUUUCACUUUUCUUGUGAAACACAGGAACUUCAACGUCAAAAAUUAUUGUAACGUACAAUAUUCUUUCUUUAUCCACAAAGAGCUCGAAAUUUUAUCACUUGCCAUUACUUUUUGGUUGGGCCCAUACCAAUCAUUCAUCUUAUUUACCAUUUACCAAGAGUUUUAGUAAAUAUCAUUAAUUUCCCAAACCAAAGAAUCAACGUACUAUUUAAUUUAAUUUUAAAAACUAAAGACGAGAGGUUCAGUAACCAAAGAAACAUCGGAAACUUCUACAUUGCCUCGCUACAUGUGCCAAAAUUCCGGAGCCCACUCGCACGGUCUCACCUCUGCAUGUGAAUCUCUGAGCCACUUGUUUACAACGAUCUCUUGGGAUUUAAUCACCUUGUAUUCCUAAUUAUCCUUUUAAAAUCCUCCACCGGUAUAAUUUUUCCCUAGUAAGUAAAAUAACGUAUGGAACCCACUCAUUACUAGGGAUGGCAAAAUCUGGAUCCGGGUUCGGGUCCAGUCUUUUCGAUUCUGAAUCCGAAUGACAAUUUUAUUAUACCCGAUCUGGAUAUAAUCCGGAUAUUUUUAUUUCGGGUCCGGACCGGGUUGAACCCAGAAAAAGUCAAAUUUUCGGAUUGCAGGUUCCAAACCCGCAUAUCUAUUACAUUUUUUUUUUCUCUCGAUGUUACUUCCUCAAAUCUCCAAAUCUCAAAUCACCAAAAUCCUGAAACCAUAGCUAAAUGAAUGUUGAGGGAGGAUUGCUGAGUUUUCAGAUUUUUGGUGGCAUUGGUGUUGUCGUCGGCGUCGAGGAGAGCAUCGUCAAAAAGUUGCUGUGGAGAUUCGGCAAUUUCUGGUGACAAAAAAUCAGCAAGAGUGGCGGAAAGCAGCUGUCAAAAACCAGCAAGAGUGGCGGAAAGCAGCUGUCAAAAACCAGCAAGAGUGACAAAAAAUGAGUAUAAGCCUUAAUGAGUGCAUUCCUCUUUGUCUUCCUUUCAAUACAAAGAUUUUUCCAAGUCAUUUGAGUGAAUGAAAGAGAAAUUGGAGAAGAAAGAAAGCAGCUGCAGUGGGUUUGUUUUAAUGAAAAGAGAAGAUGGAGGAGAAAGAAAGAGAAAUUGGAGAAGAAAGAAGCGGCUGCAGUAGGUUAAGACUUAAGGCAUUAGGGUUUUUUUUUUUCUUUUAUAGUUAAAUUAUUCGGGUCCGGGUUUCGGACAUCCGGGUUAAGAUAAACCGGAUCCGGACCGGAAUAUAUCCGGGUUCAAAAUAUCCUUUUCGGAUCCGCAUUGUAUUAUCUUCCGGUGCGGAUUAAACCCGGACCGGAUUAUCCGGGUCCAAUCCUGGUCCGGAUUAAUUUACCAUCCCUACUCAUUAGUCACUCUUUUUCUACACACAACACAUAUGGAAUGACCUUUUAAGUCUCCUUGAAUAAUAUACACACACAUUAUGGGAGUCAAUUUGAGAUGUUAGAAGUUGUCUACACAUUUGACAUUGAAUAUCAGUAUUAUGAAUAUCAUUAGACUUUAAUAUUAGAUUUAAAAUUAAAAAAAAAAUUCAACAAAUUUUAUUUGGGCCUCAACCAAACGCUAAAACAAAUUAACGAAUCAAUCUUGCAUUAUCUCAUUAUCUCUCUUUUGCAUUAUGUUUGUGUCUACCUCACAGCAUAAUGCAUAAUAAUAGCCCCACCACCAUAUUAUAAAAUAAAAAUUUUAUCACAAAAAACCGCAGAGAAUCACGGGUUAAAACCCCUAUAAAUUCCCCCAAUCGGAGAUCGUUUUCACCACCUCUCUCUCACUCUCUCACUCUCUCCCUAGUUGGCUGGCCAUCUUCUUUACUAGAGAUAAAAGAAGACUGAAAAAAAAAAAAACAAAACAAAAUGGGUAAAGCUUUACUGAUUGUUGUUCAUGUUUGUUUGGUCUUAGCCGGCUGCAGCUUCACUGUGUAUGGUGAACAGGUUUACACUGAGAGUUCCAUGGCUAUGCCACCAUCACACUACCACUCGGUAACCCCGGCAACGGCACCAAGCCCCCACCAUCACCACCACCACCACAGCCACCCUCCUACUGCCCCACCGGCUCACGCCCCAAGCCACCACCAUCAUCACCACCACCCCCACCCGCCGGCUCAUGCACCGGCUCACACUCCCGCUCAUGCACCUGCUCACCCACCUUCACACGUUGCUCCUGCCCACCCACCUCCACCACACGUUGCUCCUGCUCACCCACCUCCACCACACGUUGCUCCUGCUCACCCACCUCCACCGCACGUUGCUCCUGCUCACCCACCCACACCCACCCAUCGUUUCCCUAGGAGCCUUGUUGAAGUUCAAGGCGUCGUUUAUUGCAAGUCUUGCAAGUACGCCGGAGCUGAUACCCUCCUAGGAGCUACCGCUGUUCUCGGUCAGUUUCGAACUCUUUCAAUUUAACUUUCCCUGCUUCUAACUUUUACAUACUUGAUUUUUUCUAUCAUUAUUACUUCAAUUAAUUUCACAUAUAUGUUAGUUAUACAUCAUGCAUACAUAACAUACGUAUGGAUGCGAAUGUGCAUUUGUUUUCAUGGAUGCAGUAUGUAUACAUUCCCAGAUUUUGAAUGGAGAGAGAGAGAGAGAGAAAGAGAGAGAGGUGCUCUUGAUCUCUUUCUUUCUCUUUGUUCUAGGUUUAUGUCACAUUCAGUAGGAGGCAUGGUUAUGGCAGCAUAGCUAGCUACUUUUUCCUUUUUCAAGCUCUCUCUUUGAAGUCCCUAGUAUUUAAAUAUUUUUUUUUAUUCUUUUAAUAUUGUCCAUGGGUUUAAUCAAUCUCAAAAACAAAUCUUGCUUUACUCAUUCUCAAACCACAAGAGUAUUUUGAGUAAAAAAAGAAAAAGAAAAAAUGACCACCAAAUGAAUACUGACAAAGACAUUGUUUUGAUAUGUUUUUGGGGGGAGGGGGCAGG